CUGGAAGUCGAGGAGCUCACCAGGCAGCGGAACCAGCUUGAGUUAGAACUAAAACAGGAAAAAGAAAGAAGAUUACAAAACGACAGGAGCAUCCCAGGAAGGGGUUCCCAGAAGUCAGAAUCCAAGAUGGAUGGGAAGCACAAAAUGCAAGAGGAAAAGGUUAAACUAAAAAAGCCCCUGGAAGAAAGCCACAGAAUGUGUGUAAGAACUGCAGAGGAACCUUCUGUGAUGCCUGUUCAACAAAUGAACUGCCUCUUCCUUCAAGUAUCAAGCUUGAGCGAGUUUGCAAUCCCUGUCACAAGCAUCUGAUGAAGCAAUAUUUUACCAGCCCAUCAUAAGACUGGAGGCCAAGACCUAGACCAAAACGUUUACGCAGGCUCCUCUGUACCUGUGUUUUAGCUGUCAGGAUCUCAUAGAGCCCAGUUCUUAGAGUCAACUAAAGAGUUGAUAGGAAUUUACUAGGUCCAGGGAGAAAAGGCAGUGGUUGGGGUUACU
rnacentral:sRNA from 1 species